CAGCCUGCAGUACCAACGGAAGGCACAAAGUGAAAUUGCUGUCAUGGCUGAUGUCAUCAGCACCAAAGAAUGAGGGCUGUCAGACUGUACCGAAAAGCAUCCAGACCCUGAUCCACAGGAAGGUUCCUGGUGGAUCUCGACUCCUGGCUGACGUACUGGCGUAAAAAGCCCCAUGGUUCCUGGGAGCUGCUAUAUACAACAUCUGUGACGCUGGUCACCACCCUUCAGAACUCUUUUACCUGGCUCAAGAAUGCACUCCAGAGAUUGGCCCAGAAGGAGAAAAUGCUCACCGAACUGAAUACUUCUCUCAUUCCCUCAAAACAAGAGCAUCGGAGCAUUUAUCGUAGGACUCUGCACCCCGUCACGGAGAACCCCUUGCAGCAGAACGAGAGGAUAAGGAAAGACCUUCAGAUUCCCAGGUGACCAGAACUGUGACCCUGGAAAGUGCAAGAACAAAAUAGGCCAAAAUCAGGCAGCCUCCUCCUUCCCAGACACGAGUGCAUCGAUCCUCUCCCCUGAGCAUGAAGGUGAAUUAAAAUUGUACUAGCAAAUGGUAGGAUGGAUGACCACCUCUGCCAUGUUACUCUGGAUGUGUCCAUACCGCUGAUUGAGAAGGGGAAGGUAAGAGCUAGCUAUUGCCAAUAAGUUGCUUCGAGGGGCUGUAAAACUAAUUUGGCCAGUGGAAAGCUGUUGGGGUAAUCGAGGUGGCUGUUGAGCUCUGACUGCCUCUGCCAGCUCCUUGCAGGGCCCCACACUACACAGCAACAUGUCUGUCUGUCCAUGCUCAAGCUGGGGCUGUGUCUGCUCCUGAAACUGAGCUCAGCUUUCCUGAUUUGUCCUGUGGCAGCAGACUAUAGAGCCUACAAGUAUGUCAGUAGUGCCAGUGGAGGCCCAUGCAAGAUCUGCUUGUGAGGAGCAUUAAGCUAGCUUGUGUUCAGGCAAUCCCAUAUUUAAAAGAAUAGCAAUAACUCAACCAGCAAUUAAAUAAGCAUUUUUGGUGCUCUAAACCUGUAAAUAAUACAGGCAUCAGUGUCAUAUUGUCAUACUAACCUUGACUUGUUGGGUGUAGGGCACAACCAGGCUCAUUCACCUCAGUUUGGGAAGGACACCUUUGUCACUCGGGUGACAGAACUUGGACGUAGGUUUUAUUUAGUGUAUUGGAUUUCAAAGCAUAUUGUUAGACCUCAGUCUGAGGCCGACUCACCUUGGAUUCACCCAAAGCCUGUAAAAGAGAAGACUAGUUGAGUCAAGGUAGGUGAACAACUAAAGGCAUCUCCUCUGCUCUAUGCAGACCCACAGACUAAAAAUAGAUGGGCAUAUGUAUGGACAGAAAUAAAGAUUAAUUCCACUACCUGUCUUGAAAUCAAACUGGAAUCCAGCACCAUUCAGUCAAAUAUUUUGACUGGAUUUUUUAAAAGGGUUGAAUUAAUUCUUUGUUAUUAUUCACUGUAGAUGCUCAUAGAAACAGAUAAAUAUAUGACUAUUUAAGCCUAAUGCUCUUUUCCAGCUUCGAAAUGAUACAACCGAGAACAAAGUCUGCCUAUCUAAAAGUAAUCAAACCUAAUGCUUCAUGCUGUACGGUAACCUUUUUGCCUGAAGAGGUCAGGAAGGAAAUAUUUUCCUAUGCUAAUGGAUAACCUCAGUUUUAUUUUUCAGCAGUUGACAUGUUCUUGCUCGUUAGUGCUGGAGACACCAUGUAGCACUGCCUAAUUCUUUGUGGCAGAGGUGUUAUUACUCCAGUUAGGAGAAAAUGUUUAACACCCUGGAAAAGAGUGAGUAGUUGUUCCCUUUGCUUCUCAGGGUACCACUGAAUCAAUCCUCUGUGGUCCUCCGACUUCCAAGGUCUGCUUCCUUACACUUUCAGUCAAUCAAAUGUAAUUUUAAAGGUAUCCUGUAAUUCUCUACACCCGGGUUUUACCUAUUAAACCACAAGCAAGCACAGAAGUGAUGCAGGGCACUGGGUAACGGCGGCCGUCCCGUGCACAUGGGUACAAAACUCGUCGAGUACACCUCUGCCUAAUGAGAAGGCACAGGUGUUCUGACAAGCAAGAACAACAAAUUAAAAAAAGAAGUCGCUAUCCUGUCAAAUACUGUGUGCAUAUCAAGGAUCCGGAAUAUAAAGCAGACUUAACAGCAAUUACAUUUUGAGUAGAUUUCGCUUGAAUGUAACACCUUCUCCCUCUAAGGUUUUGAGUGUGGUAUCUUAAAGAAGAUCACGUAAAUUACUCAUUCUGGGAACAAAGGCUCUUUUUUGAAAGCUGUCAGCUUGCUGACAGUUAUGAUGAGCAUUUACUUCAGGCUUGUAAAACAUAUUAAUCAAACUUGUUCCUAUAGCUUCAGUCCAAGGAGGGUUACUCUUUCUUUUAGAGAAAUGUUUUACAUAAGUGAAGAGCUCUGAAUACGUAUACACCUUGAAUGCAAACCACCAUCUAUGCCAUUCAUUUAUUCGUAAUGAAUAAAUACUACUCCUCACCAGGCUUAAGGAAGAUUGAAACAGUGUAUGGAAAUCUGUUUAUUACAAGACUAUUUGCCAAAGACCUAUGCACCAUUCAUUGAACCUUGAAAAACAUUUGAAAAUAUGGGUUGCAUUUGCAAACUUCAAUGUAUGACAUGGAGAGCUGGCAAGCUGCCUGGUUUCUACUUAAAGGAUUGUCAUUCUGGGAAAAAUAAAUUUCUCUAACUAGACAAAAGUCAAUGUUUUCAUGUUUUACUGCAAUCAAACUGAUAUGGCUGACAAUUUAAUGUCUCAACACUUAAAAUAUCUGUGGAUAAUCAGUUACCUCAAUCAAUCAUAACUACAAGAUUUCUCUAUUUUCAAAGCCUGUAUACAUAUGACUGAGAUAUUUAACAAUUGAGAGAAACCUCCCCAUCCUUAAUCCUUCAUGAUUUCUCUUGAGCUGUGCAGUUCUUUGGUUUUUUUUUUUUUCCCCCAAAUGCAUGAUUUUAUAAGUGCUGGGGAAAAAAAAACCCCAAUCUUACACUAUAAUCAGAUUUUGAAACGUUUGUGUUAAUGUCCUGUUUUAUUUAAUUUUAUGUAUAUUUCAUAGUCUGUUUGCCUGUCAAAAAGAUGUGGAAAUGUGCUGGCAUUCCAGCUGAAGACAUCAUUAUGAGUGAGAAAGUGCUCAAGGCUUUUUCAAAGUGGGUGCUGAAACAUACAUUUCUCUUCUUUGACUCCAGGGGAUGCUAACAGCUGCCCCAGCAGACAGGUAUUGCGAGGUCAAAGGCUAGCAGGGCUGUGUACCUUCAGGAUUUGACUGCCAGCAAAGUAGACGGGUAGUUUCUCAAAACUAAUAAUAAAAAUAGCAACAGUGAUGAGAAGAAGAAGGAACUGACAACAAAAAUGAAAAGGAACCUGCAAGAAGUGAAUUCUGGGUAGUGCAACACUUGGCAGAGCUGAUUUUAAUAUCUGACAGGUUGAGUUCACUAAUCUUUGCUAUUCAUAUUGACAUGAAACUUCAUACAGUUUUAGAGAUUUGUAUCUAUUAAGACAUGCAGCAGUGUUCCUACAACACGGGAACAAGUUUGCUAGUGCCUGCCGUUCUUCUUCCUCCGUGAUAAAAAUUGAUAUGAACUGUUUUAAACGCCUAACAGAUAAUUACUCUCAACACUCAAUAAGGAAAGCUACAUCUUUAGGCCCUCCUUUAUCUUUAAAAAAUAAUAAAAAAGAAACCAAGCCCAAAACCCACCAACGAGACAAAACAACAUUCUUCCCCCCAUUUUCCCCCCUCUCUUUUGUUUCUUUGAUUACUUGGAGCCUUGUAAUCAAACUAAGCUUAGUUUCGGGACCCUUGGGGCAGUAUCUCUCAGUUCCUUGUCAGGCUGCGUUGCAAAACAAUCAAUCUUGCUCUUGCGCUGGCUUGGUGGAAGUGCCACGACACCAGGAAUGCAAUGCUUUGCUCUUGCUGUGAAGCUUCGAUGACAAAAGUUUUUAUCAGAAGCUGACUGUAUUUAGGGUUAUGAAUAUGCAAUGACUCUCAUUAGUAUUGAAGCACAGGAGCACGGGCUGACAUCCCCCGCCACUUUUAGCUGCUGCAGAGUCGUCUAAUGAAUUGUCUUGCUCUUUCACUCGCACAGGCUUUGCUGUUACUGCUCCCUGUUCCAAGGGGAGCUGCCCAGUUCGAGAAUACUAUUGAUGGCAGAAAUUAAUUGCCAAGAACCGCUCUUGAUUUUGUUAAACAGUGUUGAGACAGUGUUUAAAUUGUCAAAACAGAAAACCAUUAAACUCUACAGGAGACAAGAUCAUCGCGAGUGAGAAGACCCGCGUGUCCGUACGUGUAGCCAUGCACAAGCAUACAGGUGUGGCACAGGUAUGCGUACAGUCCUCUAGUCGUACCUAUACAUACACACAUAUGCUUGUGUUUCAGUGAUGGCUCUCGGAAACCUGACAUCCUGCUGAUUUAUCUGUUAUUCUUCCAGCUAGAACAAACGGGGAUAACGGAGAGUUCUCCAGAUGAGCGGGACUCCGAUAUGUUGCUAUUUGAUCAACCCUUUAAUACUCUUUCUUUUCCCUUUGGGACCCUGCCAAACAUUUUUCAGCUCACACAUCUGCAAUCUUUAUGAAUAAGUUACUGAUAAGGAUGUUUCCAACAAAUGAUUAAGAUAUCUGGCUUGAUUUGUCGUAUUUGAGGAGAUGUGUAAGCUUUCAGAAACAAGUGGAAAUGACCCUUUUUUUCCCAAUUGGUUAAAUUAAGUAUUUUUUUCCCUAUUCAUCUGAAAUUUCUUCUGACAUAAAAGGAGCUUUUGUGGCUCUCUGCAGAUUGUGAAGGAUAGAGUGAAUUGAAACGGAUAAUAUAUUCCAAGAAGCAUAAGUAACAUUCUGAAAGGUGUGUGCGUACUGCAAAUAAUAAAGGAUAGGAGGUUCUCCCAAGAAGAUGUCAGCCUGGUACAGCUUUUUGUCCAUUUAAUCAGUAAUGGAAAUGGUCCCAGUGCAAGGAAGGAGGAUCUGUUUAAUUUUUACUGUGAUUUUUGGCACCGUUGCUCUAACGUGAGCUUGGCUUACCUCUUGACCCAACCCCAGGAGUGUCUGUUCUCAUCAGCUGGAGGAAAAAUAAACAUAAAGAACAUCUACAUGUUGGGAGUAUCAAAUACAAGAGCAGUUUAAAAUAAAUGCAGUUCUGACAAAAGUGGCUCAAGUAUCAUACAUCAAACACUUGUUACCUCUCUUGGCCUUAGUGAUUGCACGUGACUAAGAAAGAGUGAGUGAUAAAAUCUGAAGAAAGAUGAAACCAAUCUGGGCCUUUUUAAAGAUCAUCAAUCAUUCUGCACAGCCAUGAUAUUAUUAGUUCCAGUAAGCCUUGUUCUCCCAUUUUAUGGACAUCAUAAACCCCCCACCCCUAGACCAAUUCUACCAUGGGAAAUCAUUUUUAUGGGCAGCAUCUUAGUGUGGGCCAAUCAGAUCUAAUCACAUAACAAGCUACUGAAUUAUUCAACGUUUUCCCUAAUUUUGCAUUCUUCCUGCACUUUGCUGUCACUGCAGGGUUUUAAAAGUAUGUGUUUUUACAAUAUUUAUUAAGAUAACCAUACGCAGGAAUUUUGCUUUCACUGUGUCUUUCAAUAAUCAUUUGUUGCCCUGGAUUGUUGCAGCAUAUACAUUACUAUAUAGAGAAUAUUUUUUCUAAAAGGAAUAGCAAUCCACAAUAUGGCACUCUGCUUUAAACUCUUUCAGCUUUUAAAAUACCGAACCUAAGGACAACAAUAGUGAAACUAUUGUGUUCAAACAUAAAAUAUUCAGAUUUACUGAGCAAACUGUAACCAGCAUGUCUCUUAGCUGUUGCUAUGAAUACAGGGCUCACAUUGUAUAUGAAAAUAUUUCAGUUUUAAUUGCAAAUCUGUGCAGAGAUGAUUUGGGGUCUGUAAUUAGCACAUAAAUUCCAGACUUUGUGACUGCUGUGAAAACACACAUUAUUUAUGGAACGAUUAUCUAAAUAUAAUUCAGUGUUUUUUGCUUUCAACAACUACUGUAAAAGUCUGAUUUAAUAAAAUGUGAAAAAUU